rnacentral:rRNA from 1 species
AUUGAACGCUGGCGGCAGGCCUAACACAUGCAAGUCGAGCGGAUGAAGGGAGCUUGCUCCUGGAUUCAGCGGCGGACGGGUGAGAAAUCCCUAGAAAUCUGCCUGGUAGUGGGGGAUAACGUCCGGAAACGGGCGCUAAUCCCGACUCCGUCCUGCGGGCGAACGUGGGGGAUCUUCGGCCCUCAGCCUAUCAGCUAGGCCUAGGCCGGAUGAGCUAGUUGGUGGGGUAAAGGCCUACCAAGGCGACGAUCCGUAACUGUUCUGAGAGGAUGAUCAGUCACACUGGAACUGAGACACGGUCCACACUCCUACGGGAGGCAGCAGUGGGGAAUAUUGGACAAUGGGCGAAAGCCUGAUCCAGCCAUGCCGCGUGUGUGAAGAAGGUCUUCGGAUUGUAAAGCACUUUAAGUUGGGAGGAAGGGCAGUAAGUUAAUACCUUGCUGUUUUGACGUUACCAACAGAAUAAGCACCGGCUAACUUCGUG